AUCCGUUAUUGGAGUUCCAGUUCAAGUCCUGGCUAUGGCAGUUCCAAUCCAGGUUCCUGUUAGUGCACCUGGGAAGGCAGUAGAUGAUGGCCCAAGUUUCUGGGCCCCUGGCGCUUAUGUGGGAGACUAAGAUGAAGUUCCUGCCUCCUGGCUUUGGCCUGGCCCAGACCUGGUAGUUGUGGCUAUUCAGAGAGCAAACUCAGAGAUGGACAGUCUUCAUUUAUUGAAAUCUUUUUGUCUGUCUUUUACAGAAAUAAACGAAGAUUAAAAUAUAUUACCUCUGAGGGAUUAUUUCCAAGUCUUUCGUGGAUAUCUAGGGAAGGUGCCUGGGAAGAAAUGAAGUGGAUCUGCAUUGGACAAGGAGAAAUAGUUAGAUGAUACAUCGUUCUUACCUCUUGUUCAAGGUGGAAGAUAAAGUCCUAUAAGCAUGGGGCCGGAGACAAUAGUGGCACUGACUUUUAAGCUUCACCGGCAUUGAUGUAAUCUAGACUGCAAAACGUUUUCUUCAUUUUUCUAAAUGUAUAGCAUGAUUAGAUCAUUUUAUGUUUCUCUUUAUUAUAAUCUUGCUAUGUUCCAUUAGGCUCUGGGGGACAAUAAAAUUUGAACAUGCCAACA
rnacentral:lncRNA from 1 species